rfam:Triticum aestivum genome assembly, contig: Triticum_aestivum_CS42_TGACv1_scaffold_515795_6BS
CAAAUACUCCCUCUGUUCAGAAAUAGUUGUCCUGGAAAUGAAUACAAAUGGAUGUAUCUAAAACUAAAAUACAUCUAGAUACAUCUAUUCCUCGCACAAGUAUUUUCGGACGGAUGGAGUAUAUG